rnacentral:rRNA from 1 species
CCUACGGGUGGUAGCAGUGAGGAAUAUUGGUCAAUGGCCGCAAGCCUGAACCAGCCAAGUAGCGUGAGGGAAGACUGCCCUAGGGGUUGUAAACCUCUUUUAUGCGGGAAUAAAGGUGGUCACGUGUGCCUAUUGGUGGGUACUGCAUGAAUAAGGUUCGCCUAAUUCCGUGCCAGCAGCCGCGGUACUACGGAGGGUCCGGUCCGUGUCCGGAUUUGUUGGGUUUAAAGGGAGCGUAGACGGGUCGUUAAGUUAGUAGUGAAAGUUUGCGGCUCAACCGUGACAGUGCGGUGUUUACUGGAGGACGUGAGUGCGUGAGAGGGAGGAGGAAUUCGUGGUGUAGCAGUGAAAUGCUUAGAUAUCACGAAGAACCCCGAUUGCGAAGGCAGCCUACU